CAGCAGCCGCGGUAAUACGAAGGAUCCAAGCGUUGUCCGGAUUUACUGGGUUUAAAGGGUGCGUAGGCGGACUUUUAAGUCAGUGGUGAAAGCCUGUAGCUUAACUAUAGAAUUGCCAUUGAAACUGAAAGUCUCGAGUGUGGUUGAGGUAACUGGAAUAUAUCAUGUAGCGGUGAAAUGCUUAGAUAUGAUAUAGAACACCAAUUGCGAAGGCAGGUUACUGAGCCAUUACUGACGCUGAGGCACGAAAGCGUGGGGAUCAAACAGGAUUAGAUACCCUGGUAGUCCACGCCGUAAACGUUGCAUACUCGAUCUUAGCGAUACACAGUUAGGAUCCAAGCGAAAGCGCUAAGUAUGCCACCUGGGAAGUACGAUCGCAAGAUUGAAACUCAAAGGAAUUGACGG
rnacentral:rRNA from 1 species